ACAACAACAUUUGGACCGUCGGUCUACCGAGCAAUAUCACCCGCUCAGUGGAAGAUCUUCCCUUCGUCGUUACUC
rnacentral:pre_miRNA from 1 species